GCCAUCGUGGUGUAGUGGUCAGCACACUCGACGUAACUGAGAGGUCCGGGGUUCGAUUCCUGGCGAAGGCG
rnacentral:tRNA from 1 species